rnacentral:lncRNA from 1 species
GUUUCACCGUGUUAACCAGGAUGGGACAAUGGUGAUCUUGAUGAGAAUGAGGACGGACUUUGAGCAGGGUUGAGAAGCAAGGGUAGUGAGGCUGGGUUUCCUGUGUCUCUAGAAUAUAUCUCCUUCAUCACAUGACUUGUAGUGACCUAGAGGAUGAUGACCUAAUCUACCACAGGGGUCUUUCAACAUGUGGAGUGUCCCAUGCUUGGAGAAGGUUGAUGUGCUUGCAUGGACUGUCCUGUGCCUGAGCGAGCCCCGCCCUUGUCUGCAGACUCUGGCUGCCUGGACAGGCAAAGGGAAAUGGAUGGGUCACCCUGAUGCCUCCGAGCCCGGUGACAGGAGCUAAGGAUGGCAAAUACAGACCGAGGGGCCACCUUGCCACUGCCUGACCCUCCAGGGAGCUUGGGCGCCGUCCCAUUUCUUAAACUCCUGGCAGUUGCCCAAUAAAUGGCUGUGCUGGAGAGUGUGGAGCCGAAGUCAACCAGCCUUAUCCCUUCAGGAGACCUGAAUUUAUAAAUGGUGGUCAGGAUGAAUACAAACAGGAUUCCUCCCCCAGUUCACGUUUGUGACAUCUGGAGAGAUGUAUGGGUUUGUCCUGGGUCAUUGUCACCACAUUGGAUGCAGGGGGAAUAAAGGAUAGGGCGGUUGUUAAUACAUACCCCACAUUUAACCAAGAAAAGCCACAGAGGAAGGUACUGCUUCAUAAAACCAAUGUCCCUUGAGCAUGUCCCUUAAUAUGCCACAGACACUAUGCCAAGCCCAUCACAGGCAUUGUCUCCUGUCCUCACCCCACCCUAUGGGUAGGGCCUGUUAGCCCCAUUUUACAGAGGAGGAGGAGCGCUCCCAGAGUCACUGCCCGCAGGUAAGUGGGAGAGGCUGUGCCUCCAGCACUGUCAAGGACGGGGGCACUGGACCCCAUUUCUGAUGAACCGAAUCUUCGUCUGAGUGGGCCUUGGUAGCGCAGUCUCACAACCUUUCUCAACUUUCUCACUAAAGCUGCUCAAGCAACAGAGGACAGAGACACUGAGGGAUGUGGACACAGUCCAAGGUGGCAGCCUUAGGUGGAGAGUUCUCUGGAGUUUUACCAAAACCAAAAGUUUUAUUUCAUAAUAUAUGCUUUUUGUUGUCUUACUGGGUAAAAUACAACAUAAAAUAUACCAUCCUAACCAUUUUUGAGUGUGCAUUUGGUGACAUUAAGUUCCUUCACAGUGAUGUGUAGCUAUCACACGCCCAUCUCCAGAGCUCCUUCCUCACCACAAAACAGCUCCCCGCCCCAGCCUCCAGCACCCCCAUUCCAGCUCUGUCUCUGUGAAUUUGACUACUCCAGGAACCUCACAAGGAGUGGAACGACCCACUAUUCAUU